rnacentral:rRNA from 1 species
GAAUCUGAACAAAGCGCCGCGGGGCUGAUUUGCUGGCUCCUCGGAGCAACGUGCACGCCCGGCGCGCCUUCAAUUCGCUUACCCUCCCCUUGUGCACUUCAUGUAGGUCGCCGAUGGCGGUCGAGAGGCCCCCUUGGCGCCUACGAAUUUUUCUUUGUACGCACCCCGAUCGCAUGUAUACGUGCAGAGCUUUCCAUGUGGAAUAUGUAACACAGGAAAUAUACAACUUUCAACAACGGAUCUCUUGGCUCUCGCAUCGAUGAAGAACGCAGCGAAAUGCGAUAAGUAAUGUGAAUUGCAGAAUUCAGUGAAUCAUCGAAUCUUUGAACGCACCUUGCGCUCUUUGGCCAUUCCAAAGAGCAUCGCCUGUUUGAGUGUCAUUGAACCCUCAACUCCCCCCGUUCGAUCUUGCCAUCGCGGGGUUGGAGCCUUGGACUUUGGGAGCGCUGCGGUGGGCCCCUCGUUGGGCCUCUCCGCUCUCCUCAAAUGCAUCAGUAGGGCCUCAUCCCCCCUUCGGGUCCUCGCGGCGUUGAUAGUCGUCCACGCCUCGCCCCGUUCGGGUUUUUGACCUGCUCCUCAACCGAACCAAGGAGGGAAG